GAGUUUGAUCUUGGCUCAGAUUGAACGCUGGCGGCAUGCCUUACACAUGCAAGUCGAACGGCAGCACGGGAGCUUGCUCCUGGUGGCGAGUGGCGAACGGGUGAGUAAUGCAUCGGAACGUAUCCUGGAGUGGGGGAUAACGUAGCGAAAGUUACGCUAAUACCGCAUAUUCUGUGAGGCAGGGAAAGCGGGGGGACCUUCGGGGCCUCGCGCUCUUGGAGCGGCCGAUGUCGGAUUAGCUAGUUGGUGAGGUAAAGGCUCACCAAGGCGACGAUCCGUAGCAGGUCUGAGAGGAUGAUCUGCCACACUGGAACUGAGACACGGUCAGACUCCUACGGGAGGCAGCAGUGGGGAAUUUUGGGACAAUGGGGGCAACCCUGAUCCAGCCAUGCCGCGUGAGUGAAGAAGGCC
rnacentral:rRNA from 1 species